AUUGAACGCUGGCGGCAGGCCUUACACAUGCAAGUCGAGCGGAGCGGCGGACGGGUAAGUAAUGCCUAGGUAUCUGCCUGGUAGCGGGGGAUAAGGUUCGGAAACGGGUGCUCAUACCGCAUACUAUCAGACGUGCUUAGGCCGGAUUAGCUAGUUGGUGGUGUAAAGGCCUACCAAGGCGACGAUCCGUAUCUGGUUUGAGAGGAAGAUCAGUCACACUGGGACUGAGACACGGUCCAGACUCCUGCGAGAGGCAGCAGUGGGGAAUAUUGGACAAUGGACGAAGCCCUAAUCCAGCCAUCCCGCGUGUGUGAGGAAGGUCUUCGGGUUGUAAAGCACUUUAAGUAGGGAGGCGUUACCAACAGAAUAAGCACCGGCUAACUUCGUGCCAGCCGCCGCGGUAAUUC
rnacentral:rRNA from 1 species